AGCGGGGUGGGCUAGCUAAGAUCGGUGUUAUUACCGAUCUCUACAAUGGUUUAGGCUGCAGGGCUCAUAACCCUGAGACCGUUGGUUCAAAUCCAUCCCCCGCUACCA
rnacentral:tRNA from 1 species